GCCUGGGUGGCUUAGUCGGUUAAGCGUCUGACUUCAGCUCAGGUCAUGACCUCACAGUUAGUGAGUUCAAGCCCCGCGUCAGGCU
rnacentral:tRNA from 1 species